AACACGCUCCUUAGAUCCACCUCUGGAGGACUCUGCUGUGAGCAGAGUUCCUCAGCAGCUUUCUGGCUGUACAGUUGGAGGUGCUUGAGUCAUUGGCGUGUGAGAACAGUCUACCUGUCCCCCAGCCCACGUGUAUCACUGGCAUUCGUGUCAUGUAUUGACAAGGGGCUCCCAGUGCUGCUAGGCUUGAGGACGGACACA
ensembl:snoRNA SNORA53 small nucleolar RNA SNORA53